rnacentral:rRNA from 1 species
CUUCAUGAAUUGAUUUGAAGUCGUGCCUGCCCACUGAAUAUUAAAGGGCCGCGGUAUAUCUGACCGUGCAAAGGUAGCAUAAUCAUUAGUCUCUUAAUUGGUGGCUGGAAUGAAUGGUUUGACGAAACAAUAACUGUCUCAGUAUUAUUAAUUGAAUUUUACUUUUGAGUUAAAAGGCUUAAAUGUUAGUAGGGGACGAGAAGACCCUAUAGAUCUUUAUAAUGCAGUUGAGAUUUUUUGGUUGGUUAAUUUAAAUUUGAUUUUAAUUGGUAUUAUUUCGUUGGGGUGACGGGUGAAUAAAUUAACUUCUUCAUUUUUAACUAUGAUGAUUGGUUUUGUGAUCCUGUAUUAUGGAAAUUAGAUUAAGAUACCUUAGGGAUAACAGCGUAAUUUUGUUGGAGAGUUCUUAUCGAUAAUGAAGAUUGCGACCUCGAUGUUGGAUUAAGAAUACGACUAGGUGAAGAAGUUUAGUUAGUUGGUCUGUUC